UGUGUAGGCGGAAAAUUAAGUCAGUAGUGAAAUCCUGCAGCUUAACUGUAGAACUGUUAUUGAUACUGGUUUUCUUGAAUAUAGUUGAGGUAGGCGGAAUGUGUAAUGUAGCGGUGAAAUGCUUAGAUAUUACACAGAACACCGAUUGCGAAGGCAGCUUACUAAGCUAUGAUUGACGCUGAGGUACGAAAGCGUGGGGAGCGAACAGGAUUAGAUACCCUGGUAGUCC
rnacentral:rRNA from 1 species